AUGCUCGCUUCAGCAACACAGAUAUUAAAAUUGGAAUGAUACAGAGAAGAUCAGCAUGGCCCCUGUGCAAAGGUGACACAGAAAUGUGUGAAGUGUUUCCUCUAUUU